CUGAGGUAGCCAACACUGUUUUUAUUUAUAUAUAUAUAUAUAUAUAUAUAUAUAUAUAUAUUUAUUUAUUUAUUUUUUUAAUUGGGGGUAGCCCCCAAAAUAUUGGGGCAUAUAAAAAAAGACAACUCUGUUGACAUUAUAGUUGCGCAGGAACUUGGUUGACUCUAGAGAACCUUGGGCAAAUCGCACAUCCUCGUGGCGGUGACUUUGCAUGUGGAUGUCAUCAAUAUCAACUUUCGAUGCCAAGUUCUGCUCCUACCAUGGUUACCACGGGUAACGGGGAAUCAGGUUUCUAUUCCGUACAAGGACCCUGAGAAACGGCUACCACAUGCAAGGAAGGCAGCAGGCGCGCAAAUGACCUACUCCCGACGCGGGAAGUUAGUGAAG